GCAUGAAGUAACAAUUUCCCUCUUCUCCUGCAUAUCACAGAAAGGAAAUAAGACUUAGAAAAAGAAAGCCACGUUAGCUCCAUUUUUAGCUAUAUUAAAAGACACUUAAACCCAAGGACUCAAAUAACUGCAUGAAGAUGACUGAAGCAGUGAAGAUUUUCACGGAAGCUCUGCAAAGCAAGGAAGUUGUGCAAAGCCAAGCCACCAGGGUACAGAAAGCAAGAGCUGCAAGAUUGGAGGAAGACAGGGUGGAGAAGUGCAAUAACUGGGCAGAAAGGAGUUACCCAAAGAAUAUCCACUGCUUUCGAUUCCAUUCUUUCUCAGACAUAAAUUGCAGGCCUAGCAAGUCCUAAUAAGAACUAAAAUAAAAUAGUGGUGUAGCUUCUGACUGGUGGGUGUCCCCUGUUUUUUUCUUGAGUACAGCUCCUAGAAGAUAACAAGUUUCUCUCUAAAUUUGAAGUCUAUGCUCAUAUUUGGUCCAAGAGAAACUCCUUUGCUUAAUGAUUUAAACAAUCAUAAGGAUUCUAUAUCCACUUUCUCCUUCACAAGCUUGCCUGUGUGACUGAGGCAUCUUUCUUGAUUAUGGUGAA
rnacentral:lncRNA from 1 species